rnacentral:sRNA from 1 species
CUGUUGAUGCGUGAAGGAUAGUAGUGGAAAUCCUUUACUUUUUUUUCUUUAAAAAAGUAAAGAUUGCAACGAAUAGCCUGACCCUUU